AUUAAGGAAUGUAGCUAAAAAGGUUUGACUUUAUUGUUACGAAUUGCAAAUAUUUAAAAUGUUAAAUGCAUUUUUAAAGAUUAUGAAUAGUGUCUUGGAACCCUUUUGGAAGCCACUGCUCUUGGAGAUCCAUCCAGCUGAAGUUCUGGCAGGUCUAGAUUGGAUCGAUCUGUAUUUAUGAGCUAAGACUUGAGGUCCAUUAGAUGAGCAAGUGUGUAAGUGGAUCCAGAUUGUGUGUUUGAUCCAGGAACUAGAUCCUGCUCAUAAAAGUCCAUCUGGAUGAAGGUCACAUAGUUCCAUAGAGUUAUCAACCUGACGUUCCCAGAGCGGUCCUCACAGCAAGAGCAGACAGUCGGGUCUGAUCGAGUCCUGAACCGCAGCAGAACUACAUCUGAGAAGGAGGAGCUGACAGCUGCCUCGAGGAGGAGGAAAACGGGGCGACCGUCCUCAAACACAGAGAGAGAGUUUGGAGCAGACGUGUAGCUGUGGAAAAUGAAGUUCUGCGGCUCUCUGGACUUCACAUCGGUCGGAAAACACAACACACGUUGCAGCCAGAACUUAACGGACUUCAAUAGCAUGGUGAUUUCCACUCCAUGCACUCUUUAAAAACCC